rnacentral:rRNA from 1 species
UGGGGAAUAUUGCACAAUGGGCGCAAGCCUGAUGCAGCCAUGCCGCGUGUGUGAAGAAGGCCUUCGGGUUGUAAAGCACUUUCAGCGAGGAGGAAGGGUAGUGUGUUAAUAGCACAUUGCAUUGACGUUACUCGCAGAAGAAGCACCGGCUAACUCCGUGCCAGCAGCCGCGGUAAUACGGAGGGUGCAAGCGUUAAUCGGAAUUACUGGGCGUAAAGCGCACGCAGGCGGUUUGUUAAGUCAGAUGUGAAAUCCCCGCGCUUAACGUGGGAACUGCAUUUGAAACUGGCAAGCUAGAGUCUUGUAGAGGGGGGUAGAAUUCCAGGUGUAGCGGUGAAAUGCGUAGAGAUCUGGAGGAAUACCGGUGGCGAAGGCGGCCCCCUGGACGAAGACUGACGCUCAGGUGCGAAAGCGUGGGGAGCAAACA